rnacentral:ribozyme from 1 species
CAGCCCGAUACGGUUACAACGUACAUUCAUAGCGCUGGUGCAUGGGUGUGUUCCAAUUGAAUGGUCAAGCACAACAACAACACCACCAACAACAAGAAUAGGGGGAGCAAU